GGCGGAGGGGCCCGGCGGGAACAAACAGCCGCCGCCGCGGGAGCGCUGCUCGGGUGGCCGGAGGCAGAUCCUCCUCUAGCCCAUCCCGCAAACCCUCGCUCCCUGGAGCCGCUGCCUUCACUGCGCUCAGCCCUGGAUGGUAAGGGUUCACGCGGGUGCCAGCUGGAGCUGGGAGCAGCAGCGAUAGUCCCCCACCCGUCAUCUCCCCAAGGCAGCGCCCGGGCCACCGAGGCCGAAGCGCGGUUGGAGCCGCACCAGCGGAGCCUGAGACGCCGGGACCAAAGCCGCCAGAGCGGGGCCCGAAGGAACCCGAGCGGCUUCCGGCCCAAGGCGAGACGCGCUUAAGUGAUCGCAAGGAACAAAGUUGGCGUUCUCAGCCUCGGGCCUCGGAGAGUCUCACUACAGAGCCACCUACGUUCCUUCUCCCUUCCCCCUUCUCUCGCCGGACUUGCAGGCUCUACCAACAGGCAGCGCCGAGACCUCUG
ensembl:lncRNA